CUUUAUAAAUUAAAGAACAACGAUAAUCUUGUUCUUGCUGCCUAACUAAAGGCAGCCGUCCGACCUGGGAGGACCGCGGCCCGGGAAGGGCGUCGUUUAGCGGUGAACGUGCGCGCGGAAAGAGUUGACCGCGCCAUGAAUAAUGACUCUUACCUGACCGGCAGGCGUGGCGGCUUGCCUGCCGGAAGGGGAACAGGGGGAUAACGCCCCCCGGGAAUAACCGCCUGCGCCCGGAGAAAAUCCCGUGAAAUCGUUUUCGGACAGGGGUUCGACUCCCCUCACCUCCACCA
rnacentral:tmRNA from 1 species